GUGAGCACCACCACGUCUGGCAAUUUUUGUAUUUUUAGUGGACAAGGGGUUUCACCAUGUUGGCCAGGCUGGUCUUGAACUCCUGACUUCAAGUGACCCACCUACCUUGGCCUCCCAAAGUGUUGGAAUUACAGGCGUGAGCCGCUGUGUCCAGCCACCAGCCUCUUCUUGAUGGAGAGACUGACAUCUGUGGCUUCACACCAGGCUCUCUGCAGUGAAUAAGCUUGAACCUGCGUUAUUUUCUAGCUCUGAAACUAGCUGUGAUCUUUGGGGGUAGGGGGAGGCGUGGAGCAUGAGAACAAACCUGGCGUCUGUCUGCACUGAUUGCGACACACUCUUUGGAAGAGGAGGAGGAGGAGGAGAGAGAAUGAAAAUACCUGCUUGCUCUCCAGAAUUGGGGUUCAGCUUUUGAAACUGCAUCCCCUUGCCAGGCGCAGUGGCUCACGUCUGUAAUCCCAGCACUUUGGGAGGCCGAGGCAGGCAGAUCACUUGAGGCCAGGAGUUGGAGACCAGCCUGGCCAACAUGGUGAAACCCCGUCUUUACUGAAAGUACAAAAAUUAGCCAGGCGUGGUGGUGGGUGCCUGUAAUCCCAGCUACUCAGGAGGCUGAGGCAGGAGAAUCGCUUGAAGCCGGGAGGCAGAGGUUGCAGUGAGCUGAGAUUGCACCACUGCACUCCAGCCUGGGUGACAGAGAGAGACCCUGUUGCCAAAAAAAAAAAAAAAAAUUAAAAAAAGGAAAGAAACUGGAUCUCCCAAUUGCCCCAUUCCAUCUUCUAUCCCCCACUUUCUCCUCAAGCCACCCCAUUUCCUGGUUUCAUUCUAGACUCAAGCAUUCGGCACUGUGGUUUGACAACCUUGAGAAGGAAUUCCUGUCUGGCCUCUGUCUAGCGGCAAGCCUGGGUUCCUCUUUUCUCUGAGCCUCGGUUAAUCCAACUAAACAAUGCGACUGAAGAUAGUUCUGGUUGUUGUGACAAUUAAAGAAACCAGGAUGCCUAGAAGCCACCAGGCUCAGAGGGGCCAGGUGUGGUGGCUCACGCCUGUCAUCCCAGCACUUUGGGAGGCUGAGGCUGGGGGAUCGCUGGAGGUCGGGGGUUCGAGACCAGCCUGGCUAACAUGGUGAAACCCUGUUUCUACUAAAAAAUACAAAAAUUAGCUGGCUAGGCAUGGUGGCUCACACCUGUCAUCCCAGCACUUUGGAAGGCCGAG
rnacentral:lncRNA from 1 species